CUGCCUUGCAUGUACUUUAUGGUUUCACCACCCUUGCCAAUGAGCAAUCCAACCUUGUCAUUAGGGACUUUCAUUGCAAACUGUUCAGCUCCAGAUUGCUUUGUAUUUAAUCCAUGAACUGCAGAUGAGCCAGAGCCCCCUACAUCUGUCUCUGUAAUCACAUCAUUGAUCAGUUCUUCAGCCCUGCUAAUUUGUUCUGAAGUACCCAUCAGCUCCACAUCCCUUGUUAGAGAAUGGGGAUUAGCAUCUUGGUCCUUGGUAAUCUGAAUUUUAGCCCCUGACUGAAGUUGAAUAUGUUUUAUUGUUUCUCCUCCUUUCCCUAUAACCACACCAACCUUGCCAUUAGGAAUUGUAAUUUUCUUACUUGUGCCUUGUGAAUACAGACUUGGUUGGGCAACAAAG
rnacentral:misc_RNA from 1 species